rnacentral:rRNA from 1 species
AGAGUUUGAUCCUGGCUCAGGACGAACGCUGGCGGCGUGCUUAACACAUGCAAGUCGAACGGAAAGGCCCUUUCGGGGGUACUCGAGUGGCGAACGGGUGAGUAACACGUGGGUGAUCUGCCCUGCACUUUGGGAUAAGCCUGGGAAACUGGGUCUAAUACCGAAUACACCCUGCUGGUCGCAUGGCCUGGUGGGGGAAAGCUUUUGCGGUGUGGGAUGGGCCCGCGGCCUAUCAGCUUGUUGGUGGGGUGAUGGCCUACCAAGGCGACGACGGGUAGCCGGCCUGAGAGGGUGUCCGGCCACACUGGGACUGAGAUACGGCCCAGACUCCUACGGGAGGCAGCAGUGGGGAAUAUUGCACAAUGGGCGCAAGCCUGAUGCAGCGACGCCGCGUGGGGGAUGACGGCCUUCGGGUUGUAAA